rnacentral:rRNA from 1 species
GGUGUUAAUGGCGAUGAGGAACCACCUGUUCCCAUACCGAACACAGAAGUUAAGCUCAUCCGCGCCGACAAUACUUGGCGGGCGACUGCCUGGGAAGAUAGGUCGAUGCCG